rnacentral:rRNA from 1 species
AGAGUUUGAUCAUGGCUCAGAGCGAACGCUGGCGGCAGGCUUAACACAUGCAAGUCGAACGGGCGUAGCAAUACGUCAGUGGCAGACGGGUGAGUAACGCGUGGGAACGUACCUUUUGGUUCGGAACAACUGAGGGAAACUUCAGCUAAUACCGAAUAAGCCCUUACGGGGAAAGAUUUAUCGCCGAAAGAUCGGCCCGCGUCUGAUUAGCUAGUUGGUGAGGUAAUGGCUCACCAAGGCGACGAUCAGUAGCUGGUCUGAGAGGAUGAUCAGCCACAUUGGGACUGAGACACGGCCCAAACUCCUACGGGAGGCAGCAGUGGGAAUAUUGGACAAUGGGCGAAAGCCUGAUCCAGCCAUGCCGCGUGAGUGAUGAAGGCCCUAGGGUUGUAAAGCUCUUUUGUGCGGGAAGAUAAUGACGGUACCGCAAGAAUAAGCCCCGGCUAACUUCGUGCCAGCAGCCGCGGUAAUACGAAGGGGGCUAGCGUUGCUCGGAAUCACUGGGCGUAAAGGGUGCGUAGGCGGGUUUUUAAGUCAGGGGUGAAAUCCUGGAGCUCAACUCCAGAACUGCCUUUGAUACUGGAAGUCUUGAGUAUGGCAGAGGUGAGUGGAACUGCGAGUGUAGAGGUGAAAUUCGUAGAUAUUCGCAAGAACACCAGUGGCGAAGGCGGCUCACUGGGCCAUUACUGACGCUGAGGCACGAAAGCGUGGGAGCAAACAGGAUUAGAUACCCUAGUAGUCC